rnacentral:rRNA from 1 species
GAUGAACGCUGGCGGCGUGCCUAAUACAUGCAAGUCGAGCGAACAGACGAGGAGCUUGCUCCUCUGACGUUAGCGGCGGACGGGUGAGUAACACGUGGAUAACCUACCUAUAAGACUGGGAUAACUUCGGGAAACCGGAGCUAAUACCGGAUAAUAUAUUGAACCGCAUGGUUCAAUAGUGAAAGACGGUUUUGCUGUCACUUAUAGAUGGAUCCGCGCCGCAUUAGCUAGUUGGUAAGGUAACGGCUUACCAAGGCGACGAUGCGUAGCCGACCUGAGAGGGUGAUCGGCCACACUGGAGCUGAGACACGGUGCAGACUACUACGGGAGGCAGCAGUAGGGAAUCUUCCGCAAUGGGCGGAAGCCUGACGGAGCAACGCCGCGUGAGUGAUGAUGGUCUUCUGAUCGUAAAACUCUGUUAUUAGGGAAGAACAAAUGUGUAAGUAACUAUGCACGUCUUGACGGUACCUAAUCAGAAAGCCACGGCUAACUACGUG